rnacentral:lncRNA from 1 species
CCGACCUGCAUCACCCUGCUGGAAAUCCUCAUGGUAGGCCCCAUGUGGGGGUGGGUGGUGGCAUGGUUGGCUCUCAGCACACCUGUCCCACCUGCUGAAAAAGAGCUCAAAACCCAAACUCUGGGGGCCUUCACUUUAGGAGACGUAGGAGAUAAGCAACCAAUUUUAACACACGAGCCUAAUUUAGAUUCUAACUCAAAUGUAAACACAACAACAACAGUUUAUGGGUCAACUGGGAAGAUGUGAAACUGCUUGGUUAUUUCAUGAUAUUAAGGAAUGACUGUUAAUUGUUUUAAAGUGUGAUAAUGGUAAUGUUAUCAUGUUUUCUAGAAGAGGGUCCUUAAGUUUAGAGAUACACACUGAAACUCUAACAGAUGACAUGCUGUCUGGGACUGUUUCAGAAUCACCCUGGGGUUAGGAAGUGGGCAGGGUGCAGGUGAGAGAGUGGACGGAACCAAGAUCGGCUAUGAGAUGGUAAUUGUUGAACUCUGGGUGAAGGGAAGAUGGAGCUUCAUGAAAAACACUCUUUAUUUUUGCAUAUCUUUGAAAAUUGCCAUAAAAAAACCUUCUAAUGGUAAAAUUUCAGUCAUUAGUGGUGGGGAAAAUAGAACCACAAAAUGUCAGGGUCAGGGGAAACCUUUGGGCUCACUUAAUUCAAUCUUCUGCAGAAAGAAUGAGAUAAGCUGUCAAACCUGGAUUUUCACAAGGCUGCUCCUGCAAGGCUGUGUAGGCUGCACACUGCCCAACUCCAGGGGUGCCUUGCACCUGAACAGCAGUAGGAACAGUACCCUCUGAGGCUGUGUGUAGUGGGCCGGGGGAUUUUUGGUCCCUUAUGAGGCUCAAAGAUACCUUCUACCCUAUGUUCUCAUGUCAAAGGAGCAAAAUAAAAAUCCCUUUAAUAUCAUUUUCUACACAAAAGUAAGACAGACUACAAACCAUUAUGUGCCAGACUUGAUCAUUAUACCAUGAAGUAAAUAUGAGAAAUAAUAAGAUCAAAAAUAAUCUUUUAAUUAACUCAUGUCUAUUGGAAAAUAUAUUAAUCUUAUUUAUUUAUUUAUUUAUUUUGUAGAAACAGGGUCUUGCCAUGUUGCCCAGGCUGGUCUCAAACUCCUGAGCUCAAGUGAUCCUCCUGCCUUAGGCUCCCGAAGUGCUGAGGUUGCAGGCAUGAACCACAAUACCCAGACUAAUCUUUUAUUAUCUGCCUCAGCACUAAAAAAAAUCACAGAUGAUCAAAAAAGUAUUUUUAUAAUAAAUUACAUUUGUUUUAAACUUGUACCUAAUGGUGAGUACUCACAGACACAAGUUGCAGCUAUUCAAUGGUCAUGUAUUUUGGUUCAUAUCAAUGUCCAAGAUGAAUCAGGAAUGUUAAAAAAAAACCACUUUCUCAUUACAUAUUUGUUGGGUAUUUACUAUAUGCCAGGCACUGCUGGAUCUUGGGCAAAUGGACAGCCAAUGUCUUUCCUGCCUUUAUGGACUCUAGAGUCUAGUGGCCUGGACAGACAUAAACAAGAAAAGACAUACAAAGAAAUAGGCAGUCAAAAAUUGUAGUAAGUGCUAUAAUGGAAAAGAACAGAGGAAAUAAUGAAGUAGAAGGCUCAUUUAGAUCAUGAGGGUCAGGGUAGGCCUACCUGAUGAAGUCUCAAAAACGGCCAAGGACCAUGGCUAUUUGCACACUUCCACUGCUUCCCCACUUCAUUCCCUUCUCCUGUUGCUCUUCGAACAAAUACUUGCCCAGGGACUCACUGUCUUACCUCAGCAUCCCUCCCUCCCAACCCAUCCCCUCCAAGCUCAGCCCUACUCUCUGUGACCCUGAGAAGUCUGAGAGCUGGUAUCUCUAAUCAAGGACAAAACAGGAGCCAGUACAGCCCUGGGCCCCAGAGAGAGGGCAGCAUGAAGCCCUUGGUCUGGUCCUCACACAGGCUCUCACUCCUGUUAUGACCUUGG